rnacentral:rRNA from 1 species
CGCAAGCCUGAUCCAGCCAUGCCGCGUGCAGGAUGACGGUCCUAUGGAUUGUAAACUGCUUUUAUACGAGAAGAAACACUACUUCGUGAAGUAGCUUGACGGUAUCGUAAGAAUAAGGAUCGGCUAACUCCGUGCCAGCAGCCGCGGUAAUACGGAGGAUCCAAGCGUUAUCCGGAAUCAUUGGGUUUAAAGGGUCCGUAGGCGGUUUAAUAAGUCAGUGGUGAAAGCCCAUCGCUCAACGGUGGAACGGCCAUUGAUACUGUUAGACUUGAAUUAUUAGGAAGUAACUAGAAUAUGUAGUGUAGCGGUGAAAUGCUUAGAGAUUACAUGGAAUACCAAUUGUGAAGGCAGGUUACUACUAAUUGAUUGACGCUGAUGGACGAAAGCGUGGGUAGCGAACAGGAUUAGAUACCCUGGUAGUCCACGCCGUAAACGAUGGAUACUAGCUGUUGGAAGCAAUUUCAGUGGCUAAGCGAAAGUGAUAAGUAUCCCACCUGGGGAGUACGUUCGCAAGAAUGAAACUCAAAGGAAUUGACGGGGGCCCGCACAAGCGGUGGAGCAUGUGGUUUAAUUCGAUGAUACGCGAGGAACCUUACCAAGGCUUAAAUGUAGAUUGACCGUUUUGGAAACAGAACUUUCGCAAGACAAUUUACAAGGUGCUGCAUGGUUGUCGUCAGCUCGUGCCGUGAGGUGUCAGGUUAAGUCCUAUAACGAGCGCAACCCCUGUUGUUAGUUGCCAGCGAGUCAAGUCGGGAACUCUAACAAGACUGCCAGUGCAAACUGUGAGGAAGGUGGGGAUGACGUCAAAUCAUCACGGCCCUUACGCCUUGGGCUACACACGUGCUACAAUGGCCGGUACAGAGAGCAGCCACUGGGCGACCAGGAGCGAAUCUAU